GAACGCUGGCGGCAUGCCUAACACAUGCAAGUCGAACGGUAACGCGGAGAGCUUGCUCUCUGGCGACGAGUGGCGGACGGGUGAGUAAUACUUAGGAAUCUACCCAGUAGUGGGGGACAACAUUCGGAAACGGAUGCUAAUACCGCAUACGCACUACGGUGGAAAGUGGGGGAUCUUCGGACCUCGCGCUAUUGGAUGAGCCCGCGUCGGAUUAGCUUGUUGGUGAGGUAAAAGCUCACCAAGGCGACGAUCCGUAGCUGGUCUGAGAGGACGAUCAGCCACACUGGGACUGAGACACGGCCCAGACUCCUACGGGAGGCAGCAGUGGGGAAUAUUGGACAAUGGGCGCAAGCCUGAUCCAGCAAUGCCGCGUGUGUGAAGAAGGCCCUAGGGUUGUAAAGCACUUUCAGUGGUGAGGAAAGCUCACGCGUUAAUAGCGCGGGAGGGUGACGUUAGCCACAGAAGCAGCACCGGCUAACUCCGUG
rnacentral:rRNA from 1 species